rnacentral:rRNA from 1 species
CGUCAAAGGUUAAUUAUACACUCAGAUAAAUUCCCCAAACAAAUCAAAACCCUACUACAAUACUGAAUAAUUCCAUAAAUUUAUGGAAGAUAUAAUGUUAAAACUAGUAACAUGAAGUCAAAUUCUUCUCUUAAAUGCAAAUGUAAGUCAGAAUGGAACACACACUGACAAUUAACAGCCUAAACUAAAGUAGUAACUACACAAGAAAACCCUACUAACAUACCUGUUAACCUAACACAAGAACAUUUAAAGAAAGACUUAAAGAAAAAGAAGGAACUCGGCAAAACUGAUUCCGCCUGUUUACCAAAAACAUCGCCUCCUGAUAAACCAUAGGAGGUCCAGCCUGCCCAGUGACUCUGUUUAACGGCCGCGGAACCCUAACCGUGCGAAGGUGAGCGUAAUCACCUGUUUUUUAAUUAAAGACCUGUAUGAAAGGCAUCACGAGAAUCACACUGUCUCCUUUCUCAAGUCAGUGAAACUAAUCUCCUCGUGAAAAAGCGAGGAUAAUACUACAAGACGAGAAGACCCUUUGGAGCUUAAGACAAAAUAAAUACUUGCCUACUUUUACCCACUACACCACACAGCACUCUAUUUAUAAGUCUUGGGUUGGGGCAACCACGGAGUAAAAACAAACCUCCGAGCUGAACGGAAAUUUCCUAAACAAAAAGUAACAGCUUUAUGUAUCAGAAAACUGACACAAUUUGACCCAAUAUAUUUGAUUAACGAACCAAGUUACCCCAGGGAUAACAGCGCAAUCCACUUAAAGAGUUCAUAUCGAAAAGUGGGCUUACGACCUCG